ACAUAUCCUAUAACCCAAUUCAUGAAAUUUUAAUUAAUUACAUUACUACCAAAUCCUAAAAAGAUAAAUUUUACAAACUUAAACUUUAUUAAAGUAACCCACCUCUUCUCUAAAAAGCUGCACCUUGAUUUGAUAUAAAACAAAAUUUUACUUAACGAAAAUUAAUCUUAUUAAAAAAUAUUCAUUAAAACAACGAUAUACAAGCAAUAAUUAAAGUAAAAUAAAUUGUGGACUAUCAAUUACAGGGCAGGUUCCUCUGGUAGGUUAGAAUACCGCCAAGAAAUUUAAUUUUCAAGAACUUAACUAAUACUAAUCUGGUUAAACUUUACAUCGAUUUCUAUAACAGGGUAUCUAAUCCUGGUUUAUAUACAAAAUUUAUCUAGAUCACUUAAUUAAAAAUUCUAUACUUUUUAUUAAAAUUUCACCUUUAAAUAUCACAUUUAUAAAUUAUUUAAUCAGUUAACUAUAAACCAUAAAAAUUAAGUUAUCCCUCUUGUAUAACCGCA
rnacentral:rRNA from 1 species